UGGGGCUUAGCCUAUUUAAUGUCAGUCCUUUCUGCCUUCAGCUGAGAUCACCUCUGCUGAGGGCUUCCCUUUCUGCUGUUUACUUUUUUCCUUCAGAAAGGCAUGUCAGUGCCAGAGGGUCUUUAAAGCAGAAUAGCCGAUUAUGCAUCAUCUCUGGAGACGACUCAUGAAAAAUUUCAGCUGGGAUUCUGUAACGUCAACAAAACCAUACUUGAAAAAUUGUUUCAGGGAGAAGAUUGAUGCUUCUUUGGAAAAAAAACAACAAAACAUUAUGAACCUGACCCAGUCUUUUUGCCCUGAAUUAUGCAUGGAAUCACCAUAAUUGCAAGUAUCAGUCAAUGCCUACAGAAAAAUGCAAGGCUAGGGAAGUAAUGGCUUUAGAAUUGUCCUAAAAGGAAACUGUCUCUUCUAUUUUGGCCUGAUGUUUUUAGACACAUUUAAUCUCAGAGAAUCAGAGAUAACCAGAACCUUAAGAAACUUCCCUUUAGUCUCCCCCUACCCCUCCACCCCUCCCUCCUAAAUAGACUUACACGAUUCCUGACAGAUAUUUACCCAGUUCUUCAAAAUCUUCAGCAAGAGAAUCACUAGAAUCACAGAAUAUCUCGAGUUGGAAGUGACUGAUAAGAAUCAUUGAGUCCAACUCCUGGCACCACACGGGUCUACACAAAAAUUCAGACCAAGUUCCACAACUUGUUAAUAUACCAAUUGCCUCAAAGCCUUAUUGGAGGCUUCCUGAAUGCUGACUUACAUGUAUAUUUAUUCUGAAAACAAACAAACAAACAAAAACAUUUCACAUAUGUUUCUUAUAUUUAUGUCAAGGAGCUGAAGGAAAAGAUAAUUGUUUCUUCACUGUAAUAGCUUCUAGGGAUUUCAGUUUAGCAACUCCCUUUUUGGACACCACAUUUAGAAGCCUGAUGUGAGGUAUUCCUGGCUAUGUUUAGCCUACUAAUUGAGAUGGAGGAUGGAAUUGAUUGAUAGAGGACUGUUCAGCACAAACAGCUCUCCAUUGAGGGGUGCUACAGGUGCUUACUGCCUCUGAUUUUUGAAUUCAAAGCCUUCUGAUAUAUGCUCAUUAGAAGAUUGCUAAAAUGAAAGGAGUGCCUCUGCAGUGCUCCCUUUGUGCUGAAAUUGCCAGCUGAUUACAGAUGGCUCUACCAGCAGAUGAAA